UUUUAAAAUACACUUAGAAAGGGAACAGUUAGAAUCUUAAUUUCAGGGAUACUUUACUCCUAAACCUAUUCUUUUUGUUUAUGUAGAGAUUGACCAUGCCUACAGGGACAACUGGAAAACAGAAAUGAAACCAUAUAAGCCAAGCACUCAGGCAAUCUUUGUCCACCCAGUUGACUUAAGAACGCUUGCGAAGAAAAUGUGGCCUCUUUAGAUCUCAGGAACUAUUGGUGUCCCUACUUUCCAGAUGGAGACGUCGAAGCCCAGAGAGCUCAACUUGCAAGUACAGCCUGCUGGCUGAAACAAGAUGCUGUGCCUUGUAUUUCAACCCAAAGAAUAAGAUGGAGAUGGAGAUGAACAAGAGACAUGCAAACCAUAAAAGUCCACAGAUUCUUGUACAUUACUUGAUACAUGGAAGAAACAAGCAGUCAAAAAAGAUAUCGUCCCUCUCAACAUUUUUCCUGUCGAAAAUAUCUGUGGGAUGACAAAGUAUGCUGCCAUCUUACAAACAGCCAUCAGCCUGGUAUAUACUACAUUUUUCUUUCAUGUCACAAAAACAAUAUUUUUUGAAAAAUAGACAUCAGUCACUUGAUAUAAAAAUUCAUGAGUAUUCUAGGAUGUGAUAAAGAAUGUUUUAUUCCUAUUUGUCAUUUUGUAUAGGUGAAGGACAAAAAAAAUCUGCAGACGCUUUGAGAUAAAAUUACUCUUUAACUCGUUUCACAUGGUAUGUGUCAGUAACACUUUCAGUAUGAAAGAUGGAAGCCCCUUACAACGUGAGUUGUUUUUAUAUGUCAAUGUUUAAUUUUUAUAGAAAAAAAAGAACACAUCUUACCAAGCAUAUUAUAUUCAUGUUGUCUUUUAAGGAUUUUUUAAAAAUUUACAACACAAAUUGAAAGAGCCCAAGGGAAAAAGAAAAGACAUCUGUCGGAUCAAGAGUCUCUUCCACAGUGAGAAAAGUUAUUUAAAAAUAAGGGGGAAAAAUGGAAAUGCUGCCUAACCUAAACGGUUUAUGUAAAAUUUCUAAGGCUAAUUCUUUAUUGCUUGGGAAGUCCAUGAAGCUUUUGAUCUAGUGGAUAAAAGUCCACAAGGCAGGAGGAGAUAAACUACAGUUAUUCUAAGAUUAUUCAUCAUUAAGAUACUGACUUUGAACACUUUGUAAAAGAUAAUUAAAGGGGGAGAAAAGGAUGCAAAAUAAUCGGAAUCAAGUAGUGUCACUUGGUAGAAAUAGAAAAAUUGAAGGUGAAACA